AUACAAGGUUUCAUUGCUCUCCGCAUUUAGUCAGAUCUACUGAUUUACAGUUUUAACUCGACUUCUUCUCCUUUCAAUUUUCAAGCGUUACACCCAUUUCCAGCACCAUAAUUUCUGCUAAUCAAUUUCCCAUCAUAUGUUACGAAUAAAAAAAGAUCCCCAUUAACGGCUCCAUUAAGUCUGCUAAUCAAUCCCUGAAGCUCCCAUUACAUAAACCUCAAGAGAGGAAAGAUGUUAUCUUCCAAAGGUUUUGAAUUUCUUUUCAUACCAUGCUUUCUCACACUCUAUUUUUGUUGGUAGAGGACAUAUUGAGAAAAGAACCAGCAUCCAUCUCAGCAAGAACAUGAUGAGGAUCAAGGAAGUUGAGCCAAUUAUGUGUAAUGAUUGUGUUGAAAAGGAUGGCAAUAUUCAUUUUCAAUGCCUGAAUCUUACUGUGUUAGGAUUUUGCUGACAAAAUUAGUGAUUGUUGUCGCAAGUGGAAAACAUUUUAGGAUGACAAAUGUCUUCUAUCCCGUAAUGGUACUAUAAGAAAAUGCAACAUGGGAUAGCGAGUGACACAAAUUUUAAAAAUUACUUGACGGAGGUGUAUGCAGUUUAUUUAUAUAGUAGCUGGGAGGGACUAUGGAAAUCAUAUAAGGCUAUGGUUAAAAACCCUGUUACUCUAUCUGGAAUGGGCUCAACUGACCACAAAAAAAAAAAAAAAUCACUUCAUGUUACAAUUUUUAUAAUGUUGUCAGCUGUUGUUUGGCAUCUUUUGUUGCCAUAUGUUGUAGUAUUUCAUCAUUUAGAGUAGUGGAACAUACAUAUUUUUUGUAUUUGGUAGGUUCUUAUACUUUGUUUAUUUGCAUUAACGGGUAAUGCGACGGAUCCUCUUGACCAAGAUGGGAGUAACAAAUCCAUCUACUGGCUAAAGAUAUUUAUUUGCGUAUGUAUAUUUUGUGAUGAUAGUUUCGAUUUUGUUUAUUAUGCAGGUGAUAUUCAUUUUGUGUAUCAGUAGAAGAAAGGUCUUUUCAAAACAAUGGGAAGCAGCUAGAUGUUAGACCACUUGCUAAAGAUGAUUCAAAAGCAAGAAUACGUUAGAAAUGCUUGGUUUUAUUCCACCUUUUAUUGGCAUGCUAGAUUCAAGUAAUCUUCAUUAAGCAAGAAUACUUUAGAAAAGCUUGAAUGAGUAAUCUUCAUUCUCAGAUCGCUUCACUUCAUGCUCUUCUAAAUCUUGGAAUUGGUACGACAUAUAAUUAUCCCAUUUCUAACAUAUUUAGGUGCCGGAGGUGAAUCUACAAUCACGCUACUGAACAAAGAGAUUACAAAAUCCACAUGGAUGUUCCCCAGACAUGACACCCAGGCGUAACAAAAAGUUGUUGUAAUAGGAGCCACACACUAUAUCAUAGGUGCAACCUUUUCCGGUGGAAAUAGAAAAAAGCUUUCUUAUGAUUUGUUGUUGUGACAGAACUCAGCCUCCGUAUUGAUUGCAUUCUAGAGACUUUACCCAUUCUUUGUGCCAUAUAUUGAGCUUUUGGUAGUCUUUAUGAAGAUGUGACGCUUACAUUAGACUUAUGGCUGCUGCACUACACCAAUCGUACCUGGAUAUUGCGAAAAAGUUGUUCAACUAAUACCAACACGUCAUUGACUACUUCCAGGUCAUAGAAAACAACUCAAGAUGUUAUCUCAAGUUACCCGCGUCGAAGUCCAACUCCACUUUAGUGUGGUGAAUUGGUAUUUCUCAACAUUUUAUCACAGACAGCGUUUGCAACGGCUGUGCAAUGCUGGAGCACCAGUAUAUCUGAGCGACAAGAUUUUUUGUCACUGACUAUUGACAUGGUUUCCAGGGUACGUAGUUUAUCAAGUCAAGAAAUAGUAAAUAAUGGAAGAGCACCACACAAGCAGAACCAGAUUUCUUCAUGGGAGCAUAUUUGCCUUUUUAAUUGAGAUAGAAAGGUUCUGUAACGAUUUCUAUUUUUCUUUUCAACACAUUGAACCAAAUACACGAGUCAAUGCAACUAUACAAGAGUAUCCAUCUCUGUUUUGCAAACCCCUUCUUCUUGGUGUGUUGUAUUCAUUUACCUGAUCACUGGAAGUAUUGAAUUAAGUAGUGUUGCAGUAA